UACGUAGGGGGCAAGCGUUGUCCGGAUUUAUUGGGCGUAAAGAGCGUGUAGGCGGCCACACAGGUCUGCUGUGAAAACUCGAGGCUCAACCUCGAGCUGUCGGUGGAAACCGUGUGGCUAGAGUCCGGAAGAGGAGACUGGAAUUCCUGGUGUAGCGGUGGAAUGCGCAGAUAUCAGGAGGAACACCGGUGGCGAAGGCGGGUCUCUGGGCAGUAACUGACGCUGAGGAGCGAAAGCGUGGGGAGCGAACAGG
rnacentral:rRNA from 1 species